GAGUUUGAUCCUGGCUCAGGAUGAACGCUAGCGGCAGGCCUAACACAUGCAAGUCGAACGGUAACAUAAAGUGCUUGCACUUUGAUGACGAGUGGCGCACGGGUGCGUAACGCGUAUAGAACCCACCCUGUACAGGGGGAUAGCCCAGAGAAAUUUGGAUUAAUACCCCGUAGUAACUUGAUAUGGCAUCAUAUUAAGUUUAAAGUUUUCGGAUGGUACAGGAUGGCUAUGCGUCCUAUUAGUUAGAUGGUGAGGUAACGGCUCACCAUGGCAGCGAUAGGUAGGGGCCCUGAGAGGGGGAUCCCCCACACUGGUACUGAGACACGGACCAGACCCCUACGGGAGGCAGCAGUGAGGAAUAUUGGACAAUGGGCUAAAGCCUGAUCCAGCCAUGCCGCGUGCAGGAAGACGGCCCUAUGGGUUGUAAACUGCUUUUAUACGGGAAGAAUAAGGGACACGUGUGUCCUGGUGACGGUACCGUAAGAAUAAGGACCGGCUAACUCCGUGCCAGCAGCCGCGGUAAUACGGAGGGUCCGAGCGUUAUCCGGAAUUAUUGGGUUUAAAGGGUCCGCAGGCGGGCAAUUAAGUCAGGGGUGAAAUGGUGCGGCUCAACCGUAGCACUGCCCUUGAUACUGGUUGUCUUGAGUCAUAGUGAAGUGGCCGGAAUAUGUAGUGUAGCGGUGAGAUGCAUAGAUAUUACAUAGAACACCGAUUGCGAAGGCAGGUCACUAACUAUCGACUGACGCUGAUGGACGAAAGCGUGGGGAGCGAACGGGAUUAGAUACCCCGGUAGUCCACGCCGUAAACGAUGGAUACUAGCUGUCCGGCACCUUGAGUGCUGGGCGGCCAAGCGAAAGUGAUAAGUAUCCCACCUGGGGAGUACGUUCGCAAGAAUGAAACUCAAAGGAAUUGACGG
rnacentral:rRNA from 1 species